AUAAUCCUUCGGGGUCGGGUGAAAUUCCCAAUCGACGGUGAUGCGUGUUAGAGCGAUAAGUCCGUGAGCUUUUCGGAGCAGGAGCUGGUGAGAAUCCAGAACCGACAGUACAGUCUGGAUGGGAGAAGGAUGUG
rfam:Kurthia sp. 11kri321, complete genome.